rnacentral:rRNA from 1 species
AUUGAACGCUGGCGGCAGGCCUAACACAUGCAAGUCGAGCGGAUGAAGGGAGCUUGCUCCUGGAUUCAGCGGCGGACGGGUGAGUAAUGCCUAGGAAUCUGCCUGGUAGUGGGGGAUAACGUCCGGAAACGGGCGCUAAUACCGCAUACGUCCUGAGGGAGAAAGUGGGGGAUCUUCGGACCUCACGCUAUCAGAUGAGCCUAGGUCGGAUUAGCUAGUUGGUGGGGUAAAGGCCUACCAAGGCGACGAUCCGUAGCUGGUCUGAGAGGAUGAUCAGUCACACUGGAACUGAGACACGGUCCAGACUCCUACGGGAGGCAGCAGUGGGGAAUAUUGGGCAAUGGGCGAAAGCCUGAUCCAGCCAUGCCGCGUGUGUGAAGAAGGUCUUCGGAUUGUAAAGCACUUUAAGUUGGGAGGAAGGGCAGUAAGUUAAUACCUUGCUGUUUUGACGUUACCAACAGAAUAAGCACCGGCUAACUUCGUG